UUGGCAUUGACAAAACAGAACAUAUGGCCCUUCUCCUGUCUCUUUUCAAAAAUUUGAGCUGUAGAAUUUUGAUUGACAUGAAUAUCGAGUGAUCAAUUCGAUUCAUUAUGCAGGUAGGAAUGAAUACAAUUAAAUCCGAGAAAAAAAAAUAGUAUGAUGCCUAUAAUAUAGCUGAGCGUGAAAUCAUUCUGCUAGCUAGAUCGAAGCCUUCACCCAAGCAAGAAAAAUAUCAGCAUCCAAGUCGGAUCUCUCAUCUCCUCCGAUCGAGAACUAAUAUCAGUCGCACAUCUUAACCAUAUUGCUGAGCUCAUCAUGGCAUCGAAGACCAUUACCGCCCUGCUCCUUCUCGUCGCUCUCAUAGCCGCGGCGAGUGCGCAGGCUGUAAACUCUGAGAAUGAAGGUGGCAACGCGUUAGGCAUGGCCAUGGAGGCUCUCACAAGUGAUGAUGAUGUCAUGGUGAAUGAAGAUGGUUCUGAUGAAUGCAAAACUGGGCAGCAGGGCUGCGGCUCCCUCCAUCGCGGCCCCCAAUUGGCUAAAUAAUGACCGGGUCCGUGGCGGCAUCACUAUUGGAGAUCCAAAGCAAACACUUGCACACGCACCUGGGACUAAAUGGACGUAACUCAACUUCAUCUGACAUUGCAAUUCAAAUUCAUAAUUCUUCUUUUUGUCAUUAAUAGAUGACAACUUGUUUGAUUACGUUUAUUAUCAUUGUUCACAAUCUCUUAUCUCUCAUACAUAUUGCUCUAGGGUAUGACUAUUCGAAUUCCAACAAAUGUAAUCGUUGUGUCACCAUUAUGCUUUUUUUUAAUCUUGUGAAAAUAGAGAUACAAACUGUCAUAAUAUCAUGCGACUAUAAUUAUACUGAAACCUAACAUUAAUAUUGUUUGUAUCUUAUUGGAGGUAUUUACUGAGGAGACAUGAUAUUAUUUUGUAGUUUUCGACCCACAAAGGAAGGGCUAUAAAGAGUCAAUACAUCAUACGUUCAAUGUAGAUCUGUUAACUGCACCAGGCCUUGCUGGGUGGGGGGGGGGGGCGUCUAACUUCAUCAAAUCUAUCUAUAUUUGUGGGAUAAAAGCUAAUCAAUGAAUUUCAUUCGUUAAAAGGCAUUUAUAUGAGAAAUAUUAUCCAGUGUCAUGCAAUGCCUAAUUCUCCCUGAAUAAAAUCAAGUAAUAUGACAUCUA